rnacentral:rRNA from 1 species
AGUGAACGCUGGCGGUAGGCCUAACACAUGCAAGUCGAACGGCAGCACAGUAAGAGCUUGCUCUUACGGGUGGCGAGUGGCGGACGGGUGAGGAAUACAUCGGAAUCUACUUUUUCGUGGGGGAUAACGUAGGGAAACUUACGCUAAUACCGCAUACGACCUACGGGUGAAAGCAGGGGAUCUUCGGACCUUGCGCGAUUGAAUGAGCCGAUGUCGGAUUAGCUAGUUGGCGGGGUAAAGGCCCACCAAGGCGACGAUCCGUAGCUGGUCUGAGAGGAUGAUCAGCCACACUGGAACUGAGACACGGUCCAGACUCCUACGGGAGGCAGCAGUGGGGAAUAUUGGACAAUGGGCGCAAGCCUGAUCCAGCCAUACCGCGUGGGUGAAGAAGGCCUUCGGGUUGUAAAGCCCUUUUGUUGGGAAAGAAAAGCAGCAGGUUAAUACCCCGCUGUUCUGACGGUACACAAAGAAUAAGCACCGGCUAACUUCG